CCCCCCCCCCCCCCUCAACUAGGGUACCUAUGCUUCACAUUGAGAAAUGCUGGUCAAGAUGGAUAUGGUAGUGUAUGGAUCAGUGUUCUAUCAUUGAUUAUUUAAACAUUGGUUUUUAUUUAUUCAGUGUCAUGCAAUAGAUUCUAGACAAUGUUUUUCUAUGCAUUUGUUUAGCUCAAAUUUAGCUUGUUGUUGAAUGGCUAAAUUUUACAUGGCUAAAAAUGUUUCUUAAAUGUAUAAAACGUUUAUAUUUGUAACAUGUAUGGAUUGAUUUGAUUAUUAUUUACCUAUAUCCAGGCUAUAUGAUAGUGUUAGGUUAUACUUUUAAGGAGUUCUAGUGUUAGAGUUGCUAUGUAAAGGUUGGGCUAUAGAUUAGACAUAUUCAGCUUGGAUUGAAAGAAUGUAUAACUUUAGUGUGUGGAGACAUCAGCUGGUGUGUCUGAACAAAGCAACUUGUUUCUCAUUUGAUUCUUCAAACAAGAGUUUUGUAUCAUUUUUUUGUUUAGGAAAAUGAGAAACAAAUAUAAAUGUCAUUCUUAAGGACAGCUUAAACCCCCCUAUGUUUCAAAAUUAUCGAUUUUUUUUUUAUAACUGAAUAUUAUACAGCAUUCAUUUCUGAACAAUUUGGUGUAUACAACAUGUCCAAAUUCAAAGUGGAAGUAUUUUAAAUAUUUGUUUAUAUUUUGUAUACUAACUGAGUUUUUACCACAGAGGUUUGUCGUUUUUAGCUGUUUUCUCCUAUUAACCAUUUAAAAAAAUUUUUAUGAAUAUUUUGUCUUGAAAUUUGGCACAAAUAAUGUUGUAUAUACAUGUAUGAAAGUGAAGCAGAAUAAUUACAAAAGGUUGAAAACUUUUAGAGUAAUUAAUUUUUUUCUAUGCCUAACCCCUAUAAAAACUUGAAAUAAUGGGCCACAACCAUGUUUAGAGCUGUAACUUUUUUUUUUAUUCAAUGAAUAUGGUCAAUUCUUCUUCACAAUCUUUUAGUAUUGAAUAAUCAGCAGCUUUAGUUUUAUUGAACUAGCUUUAGUAGUUUUCAAGAAAUCUUGACAUGAAAAUUAACUAUUUUUCAUCAUUUUAGCUAAAGAAAAAUCCCCCCAAAAUUUUAUUUUCUCAAAAGUGGAUUCGAUAUAAAGAACAAUUUUUUUUUUUUUCUUAUUUGCAUGCCUACACAUAGUAAAACAUUUUUUAUUAUUAAAACA